UAUUUUACAAGUUUACAAUUAUACCCCCAAAAUGAAGGUUCAAAAUAAGCAAAUCUCACUUUCCCUCUUCCUUCUCUUUUAUGCACUUCACCCAGACGGAAGAGAGACAGGAGAGAGCCGCCAUUUUCUUUCCCAACCAAAAGUAAUUUGCAAGGGCAACUGUUGGAACCCUGUUCCCUACAGCUCGAAGAGGAAGAUAGCAGCGCAGUUGUCGAAUUCGUGCCUCAAGCAUACAACUUUUUCUGAUGGAUAACAACUACGGCAAUGAGCAAGGUUGUCCCGAGUGUGCUUGUGGUGGAGGUAAAAUGGUUCUCCGCCGUGCCGGUCCAACAGCAGUGAAUGCAGGUAGAUACUUCUACAAAUGCCCCUCUGGUCUGAAUCAUAAGAGAUCGUUUUUGUGGCGCGACGAAGUGGAAGUCGAGGAUGGCUCGUCUGUGCAUAGUUUGCCUCCACCAAAUACAGGUGGUGCAGUGCACUCUCUAGGGGGGCGGAAAUCUAACCGUCGUGAUGUUGAGAUCCACAUUAUCAUUAUAUUUGUGGCUAUGGCGUUGUUUUUCUUAGGUGUAAUUGUCGGCAAGCUUUUCUAAGGUUAUAUAUGUGUGUCUAAGAUGAUAUGUGUUUGUCUUGUAAUAUGUAAAUGUUAAGCAGGCUUUUGUGGGAUGCUAUAUAUGCAUAUUAUUUUGUAAA